GGGGAAGAGUGGGAGAGGAAGAAGAUUCGAUUUUUAACCAUAUAUAACUAGACCAUAUCUCUCUAUCAGGUAAUUUCUGUGGACAGAGUCUAUUUUCUUGGACUGCUAUUGUCAACUGAUCGGUGAAUAGAGGAAGAAUUUAUAUAUCUAUAAAAUGUUUUGAUUUGAUGCUUGAUCAUUUGGUUAUUUUCUUGUUUUGAUUCUUUGAUUUGGGUUCUCAUAUUAAAAUGCAGAUUAUCUCCAGAGCAUGAUUGUAGUUGGAUUUUUGUUUAGAAUAGCAUCAUAUGAUAAAUGUGAAUUGAUUCAUAGGUUAUUGAAUCAAAAUGAUUUUAUUUUGUGAUCCAAGAUAUAAUGGAACUUAUGAUUCAUUUCUUAAAUUGAUAUAUCUAAGCUAUAACUGUCUUUGAGAAAAGACAUUGCUUUUCUGCAGUUAGUUUCCUCAUAUUUUCAGAUACACAUUCUGAUUUGAUUGUCCCGGAAUUUGGGGGAUUGUUGAUUCUGGGAUGGGGUUUGCCAAAGCUGCAAUGGGAAUAAAAGGAUUUCUGGUGGGUGAGUUGAUGGUAUUUCGUUUGUUUACAUUAGUUUAUUAGUUGAAUAUACAUGUAUAAUCUUAGUUCUGGAAACUAGGUGGUUUUUGGUCAUGAUUGGAAAUUCCUUAAACCUUAUUAUCUGAUUAAUGAUUUGAUUUGUGGUCUUUUGACACUAGAACUUGCUCAUGCGUUGUUGGGUAUUUGAGUGUUGAAUCACUCUGGUUUUGAAUAUUGUCAAAGUGUAUGAAAUUUUUGUUUACUGGUGUAGUAGGUUGAAAGUGAGAAAAUAAAUGAACAAGAAUGACUAUUUUC
rnacentral:misc_RNA from 1 species